rnacentral:rRNA from 1 species
ACCUGAUGGGUUGUUGCUGGUUCUCUAGGGAGCAUGUGCACGCCUUGUCAUCUUUAUAUCUCCACCUGUGCACCUUUUGUAGACCUUUCAGGUCUAUGUUGCUUCAUUUACCCCAAUGUAUGUUAAUAGAAUGUUGUGCCUAUAUAAUAUAUACAACUUUCAGCAACGGAUCUCUUGGCUCUCGCAUCGAUGAAGAACGCAGCGAAAUGCGAUAAGUAAUGUGAAUUGCAGAAUUCAGUGAAUCAUCGAAUCUUUGAACGCACCUUGCGCUCCUUGGUAUUCCGAGGAGCAUGCCUGUUUGAGUGUCAUUAAUAUAUAUAUCAAACCUUCUCUUGUAGAGUGGUUUGGAUGUGGGGGUUUGCUGGCCUUUUAGAGGGUUCAGCUCUCCUGAAAUGCAUUAGCAGAACAACCUGUUCAUUGGUGUGAUAACUAUCUACGCUAUUGAAUGUGAAGGGCANGUUCANGCUUUCUAACANGUCCUUGGACAAUUCAUCAUUAAUGUGACCUCAAAUCAGGUAGGACUACCCGCUGAACUUAAGCAUAUCAAUAAGCGGAGGAAAAGAAACUAACAAGGAUUCCCCUAGUAACUGCGAGUGAAGCGGGAAAAGCUCAAAUUUAAAAUCUGGCGGUCUUUUGGCUGUCCGAGUUGUAAUCUAGAGAAG